rnacentral:rRNA from 2 species
UGUCGUCAGCUCGUGUCGUGAGAUGUUGGGUUAAGUCCCCGCAACGAGCGCAACCCUUGAUCUUAGUUGCCAGCAUUCAGUUGGGCACUCUAAGGUGACUGCCGGUGACAAACCGGAGGAAGGUGGGGAUGACGUCAAAUCAUCAUGCCCCUUAUGACCUGGGCUACACACGUGCUACAAUGGAUGGUACAAAGGGCUGCAAACCUGCGAAGGUAAGCGAAUCCCAUAAAGCCAUUCUCAGUUCGGAUUGCAGGCUGCAACUCGCCUGCAUGAAGCCGGAAUCGCUAGUAAUCGCGGAUCAGCAUGCCGCGGUGAAUACGUUCCCGGGCCUUGUACACACCGCCCGUCACACCACGAGAGUUUGUAACACCCGAAGUCGGUG